UCAAACUUGGUCAUUUAGAGGAAGUAAAAGUCGUAACAAGGUCUCCGUAGGUGAACCUGCGGAGGGAUCAUUACAGAGUGUAAAAACUCCCUAAACCCACUGUGAAUAUACUUCAUUCAUGAUUCUUUUGGCAGGCGACUUCUGGGUGAGGUCUCCUAGCCGGCCCUGCCGGUGCCUGCCGAGAGAACGCCUAAAACUCUUAUUUUAACAUCAGUUGUCUGAGCUUCUAUAAAUAAAAGUUAAAACUUUCAACAACGGAUCUCUUGGUUCUGGCAUCGAUGAAGAACGCAGC
rnacentral:misc_RNA from 1 species